rnacentral:rRNA from 1 species
CUUUCUUUGCUGGCGACCGGCGCACGGGUGAGUAACACGUAUCCAACCUGCCGAUAACUCCGGAAUAGCCUUUCGAAAGAAAGAUUAAUACCGGAUAGUAUACGAAUAUCGCAUGAUAUUUUUAUUAAAGAAUUUCGGUUAUCGAUGGGAUGCGUUCCAUUAGUUUGUUGGCGGGGUAACGGCCCACCAAGACUACGAUGGAUAGGGGUUCUGAGAGGAAGGUCCCCCACAUUGGAACUGAGACACGGUCCAA